rnacentral:rRNA from 2 species
GUGCGAGACCGAUAGCGAACAAGUACCGUGAGGGAAAGAUGAAAAGAACUUUGAAAAGAGAGUUAAAGAGUACCUGAAACUGUUGAAAGGGAAUCGAAUCGUUUCCAGUGUCUAUAAUCCAAGGCAUAUUUCAUUGACGAGUUGUUACGUGUAGCGGGUUUGGAAGCAGUUUAUUCUGCGCCUACUGUUAUUCUGUGGCGACUUGUUGGUGCCCUGUGUUUUGGUGUGACGUCAAAGUCAGUUUGUAUCCUGUGGGAAAUGGUUAUGGAGGAGAUAGGUCAGAUGCUUGCGUUUGGCUAUUAUAGCUUUGUAACNUAGUUGUCAUGGUUGAGACUGAGGUGCCUA